GUUUGUUUGGAGUUAUAAAGAAUUUGACCUGCCCCCUGAUUAACUAUUAAAGGGCCGCAGUAUUAUAACUGUGCAAAGGUAGCAUAAUCAUUAGGUUUUUAAUUGAAAUCUCGUAUGAAUGGUUGGACAAAAGAAAAACUCUCUUUAUAUUAAGUUUUGAAUUUAACUUUUAAGUGAAAAGGCUUAAAUAUUCUAAAGGGACGAUAAGACCCUAUAAAACUUUACAUUGUUAUUAGUUUUGAUUGAAUUUAUGAAAUAAGAAUUAUUAUUUGAUUAUUUGUUAUGUUGGGGAGACACAAGUAAAAUAUUUUUUUAACUGCUUGACAAUUAUACAAUUAUUAGUGAGUAAGUAGAAGAUCCUUUUUAAGAUUAGUAGAUUAAGUUACUUUAGGGAUAACAGUGUAAUUUCUUUUGAGAGUUCUUAUCGAAAAAGAAGGUUGCAACCUCGAUGUUGAAUUAAAAUAUCUAUAUAAUGGAGAGGUUAUAUAAGAAGGUCUGUUCGACCUUGAAAUUUUUACAUGAUUUGAGUUCAAACCGGUGUGAG
rnacentral:rRNA from 1 species